AGAGUUUGAUCCUGGCUCAGGAUGAACGCUAGCGAUAGGCUUAACACAUGCAAGUCGAGGGGCAGCAUAAGGUAGCAAUACUUUGAUGGCGACCGGCGGACGGGUGAGUAACGCGUAUGCGACCUGCCCUGUACCGGGGUAUAGCCCAUGGAAACGUGGAUUAAUCCCCCAUAUGGAUAUAUGUUCGCAUGGAUAUAUAUUGAAAACUGAGGUGGUACGGGAUGGGCAUGCGUCCCAUUAGGUAGUUGGUAAGGUAACGGCUUACCAAGCCUGUGAUGGGUAGGGGUUCUGAGAGGAAGGUCCCCCACACUGGAACUGAGACACGGUCCAGACUCCUACGGGAGGCAGCAGUGAGGAAUAUUGGUCAAUGGCCGAGAGGCUGAACCAGCCAAAUCGCGUGAGGGAAGACAGCCCUAUGGGUUUUAAACCUCUUUUGUUAAGGAAGAAUAAGUUUCACGUGUGGAACGAUGCCAGUACUUAACGAAUAAGCAUCGGCUAACUCCGUGCCAGCAGCCGCGGUAAUACGGAGGAUGCGAGCGUUAUCCGGAUUUAUUGGGUUUAAAGGGUGCGUAGGCGGUAUUAUAAGUUAGUGGUAAAAUGUACGGGCUUCACCUGUGCCGGCCAUUAAAACUGUAGUACUUGAGUACAAACGAGGUAGGCGGAAUAAGUUAAGUAGCGGUGAAAUGCUUAGAUAUAACUUAGAACUCCGAUAGCGAAGGCAGCUUACCAGGCUGUAACUGACGCUGAAGCACGAAAGCAUGGGUAGCGAACAGGAUUAGAUACCCUGGUAGUCCAUGCCGUAAACGAUGUUCACAGACUUUAUGCGAUAUGAUGGUAUGAGGUCAAUUGAAAGAUUUAAGUGAACCACCUGGGGAGUACGUUCGCAAGAAUGAAACUCAAAGGAAUUGACGAAGGG
rnacentral:rRNA from 1 species